UACGGAGGGUGCAAGCGUUGCUCGGAAUUAUUGGGCGUAAAGGGCAGGUAGGUGGUCUUAUUUGUCUGAGGUGAAAGCCUUGAGCUUAACUCAAGAAGUGCCUCAGAAACGGUAAGACUAGAGUUCUGGAGAGGGUCGUGGAAUUCCCGGUGUAGCGGUGAAAUGCGUAGAGAUCGGGAGGAACACCAGAGGCGAAGGCGGCGACCUGGACAGGUACUGACACUCAACUGCGAAAGCGUGGGGAGCAAACAGG
rnacentral:rRNA from 1 species